UGUAAUUUGCUCAUACACUAAACCAACACCAAUCUGUAGCAGUUAGCCAGCGAGCUCGCACAAUGAGUUCCAAAAACGACAAUUCCUUUGAGAAGACUAAUGGUCCGGCUAAGGCUAGAGGUACAGUAAAACCUAAACCUCCUGGUUAUGCCGAUAAGGCCAAACGUUCUGGUACAGACAAACCUAAAUCUCCACCUCCACCUCCACCGACUUCGAAUUAAUGAUUUCAUAUCAUAUUUGUUACAUGGCAUAACAACAGAUUCAUCUAUGCAUCAUUAAGUUGGAAUUAUUGAAGAAGGCGCAUGAAAGGAAGCAAGUACGUGUUACUAUAGGGAUCGAGGGUGCUUCGUUUAGUUUUUGGGCCUUGUCUGGUUCCUUCCUUUUAGUUGUUUCUUUUUUUGGGGUUAUGGUUAGGCAUAACUUAUGCUGCAACCAUAUAUGUAGCUUGAUCUAUUCUAUUUUCUGUAUAAGAAAAGAAGGUUUUUAAGUCCACGUAUCAUAUCCAUUCUCAUGUUUUUCAUUUCCCACUCACCUUUCUCUCGCUGUAACCCAACUUUUCAUCAUAUAUCCUUAUGCUUUUUUUCUGAAUAUUAUAUGUAUACUUUAUGCGGUUUUAGAACUUGGUUUAGCCGGUAAGAUCUACUUCUGUGCUU